GUUCUUAUAGUUGAAUACAACAGCAGUUUUUCAGGCUGCGGGUCCAGGUUUAAGUCUUGGUAGGAAUU
rnacentral:tRNA from 1 species